rnacentral:rRNA from 1 species
GAGUUUGAUCGUGGCUCAGGAUGAACGCUGGCGGCGUGCCUAAUACAUGCAAGUCGAACGAACAGAUAAGGAGCUUGCUCCUUUGACGUUAGCGGCGGACGGGUGAGUAACACGUGGGUAACCUACCUAUAAGACUGGAAUAACUCCGGAAACCGGGGCUAAAUGCCGGAUAACAUGUUGAACCGCAUGGUUCUACAGUGAAAAGACGGUCUUGCUGUCACUUAUAGAUGGACCCGCGCCGUAUUAGCUAGUUGGUGGGGUAACGGCCUACCAAGGCGACGAUACGUAGCCGACCUGAGAGGGUGAUCGGCCACACUGGAACUGAGACACGGUCCAGACUCCUACGGGAGGCAGCAGUAGGGAAUCUUCCGCAAUGGGCGAAAGCCGUGACGGAGCAACGCCGCGUGAGUGAUGAAGGUCUUCGGAUCGUAAAGCUCUGUUGUUAGGGAAGAACAAAUGUGUAAGUAACUGUGCAUAUCUUGACGGUACCUAACCAG